rnacentral:RNase_P_RNA from 1 species
AGGGUAAACCCCACCGGGAGCAAGACCAAGUAGGAGCGGCAGGCGGCGCUGGCCUCGGCUAGCGUCGCCGGGCGGGCCUUCCGCGCCGCCGCUCGGGUCGGUCGCGCGAGGCGUUCGGUAACGAACGUCCCAGAUGAAUGGCCAUCCCCGCUCUCGGGCGGGACAGAACCCGGCUUACAGACCGUCUGGCAAC